rnacentral:rRNA from 1 species
CAUAAGACUCUCGGCAACGGAUAUCUUGGCUCUCGCAUCGAUGAAGAACGUAGCAAAAUGCGAUACCUGGUGUGAAUUGCAGAAUCCCGUGAACCAUCGAGUUUUUGAACGCAAGUUGCGCCUGAGGCCUCUUGGUCGAGGGCACGUCUGCCUGGGCGUCACGU